UAGUGACAACCAGAAUUGUGGCAGGCUAAUUUGGUCUGUAUGUUCCAUUCAUUAGUUAUUGAUUCAAAAGACGACGUGAAAAAAACGAAAAGGGCUCGUUUCUGAAUUUUGAAAAUCGGAAAUUGACUUGUUUUCUCCUUUAUUGGGUCAAAAAAUGGACAUGGAAUAGCAGAAAACAAAACACUUUAUUCCGAUUUUCGUUUUGUUCAUACCCGGAAGUACUCACUCCUCAGAAUAUUCAAGUUGUUUGGGGGGGGGCGGUUUACAGCACAAAUGAUUUGUGUGCCAGGAAGAUAAAGAUGCAGAACUUAUCAUGAAGUUAGCUUGCCAAUAGAACAAUCUCUACAUCUGAACAAAGUUGUUUUGCAGUAGCUGGCUAGCUAGCACUGGCUGGCUACUGACUAGCUAACAGGCUGGCUAGCUAGCCCUACAUGACCACUUGCUAUAGUCAUGCUAACUAGUAGUAGUAAGUGGAAGUAAAUUAGCCCCUCAACAUGCUACAAGAGUAAGCUGCAAGGCCAGUGCUACCUGCAGAAGAAAGCAGGAGAAGGGUACAGUAUGGCAUCUGAGCAGAUCAUUAUGAACUUCAUGUAGUUACAUCAGCCAAUACAGACCAUUCACACAGUUCAGUCACUCAGCCCUAUCCAGUGGACAUGAUACUCUCAAGGUCCUGCACUACCGUCUCCUACAACACCCUGAUGCGAAGCAAUAAGCCUGGCCCCAUGGCUGUAAAUCAGAAUCUCUCUUUAAUCCUGCUGUACCCUACUGUUCUGAAAGAAUGACUAUUUUAAAUGGAAUGCUCAACAGUGAUUUAUUAAUCUCUCGCUCUCUCUGUCUUGACCAUUCUCACAGUUCACUCACAGAUAAUAUGUAGGCUGGUUGAUGGCACCUGCAGGCAGGCCUGUUUGAGGAACAACUGGACAGAACAUAUCAGAAUGCUUGGACCUCAGCUGAGACCCUCCUCUCCUCCCCCAUCUUUCAAGGAAAGCCCUUUACACUUCCUGUUAUGCAAGAUGCUCUCAAGGUGUCUCUCUCUCUCAUGUCUUGUGGUAGUACCUACAGUGUAUUCAGAAAGGAUUCAGAAACCUUGACUUUUUCCACAUUUUGUUACAUUACAGCCUUAUUCUGAAAUGUGUUAAAUUGUAUAUUUUCCUCAUAAAUCUACACAAUACCCCAUAAUGACAAAGCAAAAACAUGUAUUUUUCUUGCUAAUUUAUUUUUAAAAAUGUAA